CCUACGGGUGGCAGCAGUGGGGAAUAUUGCGCAAUGGGCGAAAGCCUGACGCAGCGACGCCGCGUGAGGGAUGAAGGUCUUCGGAUCGUAAACCUCUGUCAGCAGGGAAGAACGGUCACUGUGCUAAUCAGCAGUGAAUUGACGGUACCUGCAAAGGAAGCACCGGCUAACUCCGUGCCAGCAGCCGCGGUAAUACGGGGGGUGCGAGCGUUAAUCGGAAUUACUGGGCGUAAAGCGCUCGUAGGCGGUAUGUCAAGUCAAGGGUGAAAUCCCCGCGCGCAAUGUGGGAACUGCCUUUGAAACUGGCAAACUGGAGUGAGUGAGAGGAGAGUGGAAUUCCAGGUGUAGGAGUGAAAGCCGUAGAUAUCUGGAGGAACAUCAGUGGCGAAGGCGACUAUCUGGCACAUAACUGACGCUGAGGAGCGAAAGCGUGGGUAGCAAACAGGAUUAGAUACCCUUGUAGUC
rnacentral:rRNA from 1 species